CACGUAGGGGGCGAGCGUUGUCCGGAAUCAUUGGGCGUAAAGAGCUCGUAGGCGGCUCAGUAAGUCGGGUGUGAAACCCCCAGGCUCAACCUGGGGACGCCACCCGAUACUGCUGUGGCUAGAGUCCAGUAGAGGAGUGUGGAAUUCCCGGUGUAGCGGUGAAAUGCGCAGAUAUCGGGAGGAACACCAACGGCGAAGGCAGCACUCUGGGCUGGAACUGACGCUGAGGAGCGAAAGCGUGGGGAGCAAACAGG
rnacentral:rRNA from 1 species